AAUAUACCCCCUCCGUCCGAAAAUACUUGUCAUCAAAAUGGAUAAAAAGGGAUGCAUCUAAAACUAAAAUAUGUCUAGAUACAUCCUCUUUUAUUAAUUUUGAUAACAAGUAUUUCCAGAUGGAGGAAGCCCACA
rfam:Triticum aestivum genome assembly, contig: Triticum_aestivum_CS42_TGACv1_scaffold_604780_7DL